rnacentral:rRNA from 1 species
CAGCCGCCGCGGGAAUACGGAGGGGGCUAGCGUUGUUCGGAAUUACUGGGCGUAAAGCGCACGUAGGCGGUUUAUACAGUCAGAUGUGAAAUUCCUGGGCUUAACCUGGGGGCUGCAUUCAAUACGUGCAGGCUUGAGUGUGGAAGAGGGUUGUGGAAUUCCCAGUGUAGAGGUGAAAUUCGUAGAUAUUGGGAAGAACACCGGUGGCGAAGGCGGCAACCUGGUCCAUUACUGACGCUGAGGCGCGAAAGCGUGGGGAGCAAACAGGAUUAGAUACCCCAGUAGUCCCUGUCUCUUAUAA